AGAGUUUGAUCCUGGCUCAGGACGAACGCUGGCGGCGUGCUUAACACAUGCAAGUCGAGCGGAAAGGCCCUUCGGGGUACUCGAGCGGCGAACGGGUGAGUAACACGUGAGUAACCUGCCCCAAACUUUGGGAUAACCCUCGGAAACGGGGGCUAAUACCGGAUACGACACAGCUUCGCAUGGGGUCUGUGUGGAAAGUUUUUCGGUUUGGGAUGGGCUCGCGGCCUAUCAGCUUGUUGGUGGGGUAACGGCCUACCAAGGCGACGACGGGUAGCCGGCCUGAGAGGGCGACCGGCCACACUGGGACUGAGACACGGCCCAGACUCCUACGGGAGGCAGCAGUGGGGAAUAUUGCACAAUGGGCGGAAGCCUGAUGCAGCGACGCCGCGUGAGGGAUGACGGCCUUCGGGUUGUAAACCUCUUUCAGCAGGGACGAAGCGCAAGUGACGGUACCUGCAGAAGAAGCGCCGGCCAACUACGUGCCAGCAGCCGCGGUAAGACGUAGGGCGCGAGCGUUGUCCGGAUUUAUUGGGCGUAAAGAGCUCGUAGGCGGCUUGUCACGUCGACUGUGAAAUCCCGCGGCUCAACUGCGGGUCUGCAGUCGAUACGGGCAGGCUAGAGUUCGGUAGGGGAGACUGGAAUUCCUGGUGUAGCGGUGAAACGCGCAGAUAUCAGGAGGAACACCGGUGGCGAAGGCGGGUCUCUGGGCCGAUACUGACGCUGAGGAGCGAAAGCGUGGGGAGCGAACAGGAUUAGAUACCCUAGUAGUCC
rnacentral:rRNA from 1 species